rnacentral:rRNA from 1 species
UACAUGGGGUGCAAACGUUGCUCGGAAUUAUUGGGCGUAAAGCGCGCGUAGGCGGUUACUUAAGUCGGAUGUGAAAGCCCUCGGCUUAACUGAGGAAGUGCACCCGAAACUGAGUAGCUAGAGUACGAAAGAGGGUCGCGGAAUUCCCGGUGUAGAGGUGAAAUUCGUAGAUAUCGGGAGGAACACCGGUGGCGAAGGCGGCGACCUGGGUCGAGACUGACGCUGAGGCGCGAAGGCCAGGGGAGCAAACGGG